UCAAGAAUAUUCCUCAAUGGACGAAAGUCUGAAGGAGCGACGCCGCGUGCCGGAUGAAGUCUUUCGGGAUGUAAACGGCUUUUAUUAGGGAACAAAUUUUGAGUGUACCUAAAGAAUAAGGGGCUGCUAACUUCGUGCCAGCAGCAGCGGUAAUACGAAGGCCCCGAGCGUUAUCCGGAUUUAUUGGGUGUAAAGAGUUCAACGGCGGUUAGGUAAGUUGAGAGUCAAAUACCAGGGCUCAACCUUGGUACUGCUUUCAAUACUGCCCAACUUGAGGGUGGAAGAGGCAAGCGGAAUUGUCGGUGUAGCGGUGAAAUGCGUUGAUAUCGACAAGAACACCAAUAGCGAAGGCAGCUUGCUAGUACACAUCUGACGCUUCAAGAACGAAAGCGUGGGGAGCGAAUGGG
rnacentral:rRNA from 1 species